CACAGUCCAGCACUGGCUUGGGUCCAACAAGUGAGCACACCAGCCGCUCAGCCCGGGGAGUACUUGUAGUUGACAGCAGGAAGGAAACAGUAGGAGGGAGGAGUGGACAUCAGUGUUGGGCUAGGCUGUCCGGGAAGGUGACACCGUCAACAGAAGCAGAGAACUGAAGGUCACCGUGACCCACCAGACUGAGCGCGCUAGAGAAGCCUCAUCCCUGAGGGCGGCCUGCAGACCCUCAGAAACAAGUCCGGAGCCAGGGAGAAAUUUUCUGGCCAAGCCAGUCCACUUGGGAGUCAUUCCACUGAGCCUGGAGGAAGCGAGUGACAAGCCAGGGUCACUGGCUGGUAACGUGAAGCCCUCGGGGAACGGGACGGCUUGGAUGAGAUCAGAAAAGCAAAGGUGCGCCUGGCAGGAUGUACCGUGCUCCCAGAGCGUGAGGCCAGGCUCUGCUCCCCAGGAAAGGAGCCUGAGCUGGAACCUGAAACAGAGCAGGCUGCCUGCCGUGGGCUCCACUGCCACAGACGGAAUCGUACAACACCCAGUGCUUAGCAAGCCCCAGCCCGCUGUAAUUAACUGCUAAUUGGAAUUAAACUCUAAAAUCCAAUCUGUCUCUCACAAACUCUUUAAAUGAUUGGGACUGAAGAGUCCCUCGGGGAAAAAUAAAAGCACAAUUAUCUUUU